GACGUCGUGCCCGAGUGGUUAAGGGGAGUGAUUAGAAUGAGUCUUGAACUUAAUUCAUCACUUACGUUAUGCGUGCGCAAGUUCGAGUCUUGUCGACGUCG